rnacentral:lncRNA from 1 species
GCGUCCCUUGCACCAGCCCUGCUCAUCCUCGUCCUCCAUCUUGGUCAGCUCAUCCCCUGCAAGACAAAGAGGGAGCCGUCUCCAUGAGAGCACCUGGCUGAUGACUUGUGCACGGUGCCAUGUGUCAACCCUUCCUGAGACCCUGAGAAGGAGCCCCUGGCGCUGUUCUGGAAUCUCCCUGUGGCUCUAAUAAUUAGAUGCAGUUUUCCCCCUGGUUUAGCAUUUCCCUGAUGCUUUGGAUUUUGUAUGGCAGCAAUGCUGGUCAACAUGCCUGCGGAGCUAAUACCUGGGGCUUCCAGUGCUCCCCGGACUGCCUGGGCUCAAAUCCCACAGCCAUCACUCACUGGCUGGGAGACCUGGACCAACUGCGUCCACUCCCUGGGCCUGUGGCCCUCAUCUGUGGACUGGGGGUACUGUGAAGAUUAAGUGUUAAGACACUAAAGAACCCUGGGAGGGUGGGACAUGCGUAAGCACUGGCUCAGCCUCCCACUGUCGUGCCGCUUCUGCCAGACCAGUGCGCCUGCAGAUCUAACCCAGAGGCAUCAGGAGCAGAUGCAGGGGCCACAGGGCAGCAGCCACGAUGAACCACCAUCUCUUUCCACCGCUUCGUGCCUCGGGCCCCUGGCGUUUCUUUUGUCCUGCCUUCAUUGGUUGCUGUGCUCUCACAGGCCUGGAUCCAGGCUACCGAGGCUAGGAUGAGGCCUGUAACCCCACACUACCAUGUGGCAAACAGCCAGAACACCGCAAGAGACGUAAGUCAAGCCACACUGGCUGGGAGCUAAUUUUGCAUUGUUAAAAAGCAGGAUAACACAGAAAAUAGAACGGACAGGAAAGCUUUCACAUUGUGCAAAUGUGAACUGGUGAUUAGAAGGUUCAUUUCAAUCAGUUUGCUUUUGACAAUUUACUUGGAUCUGGAAGAAACAUUUUAAAUCUACAAAAUUACUGUCAAACCCAAUAGGCAGGAUUGAAAAGGAGUUAGAAAUUAUAAACAAAUAAACCAACAAAGUCGGGGGUAACAACCCCAACCAAAGAUAUCAGAAACUGGAUGAAGAUGGCUUAAAGGCACAUUAAAAAAAAAUCCAAAAAAA